rnacentral:misc_RNA from 1 species
GAUGAAGAACGCAGCGAAAUGCGAUAAGUAGUGUGAAUUGCAGAAUUCAGUGAAUCAUCGAAUCUUUGAACGCACAUUGCGCCCUUUGGUAUUCCAAAGGGCAUGCCUGUUCGAGCGUCAUUUGUACCCUCAAGCUUUGCUUGGUGUUGGGCGUCUUGUCUCUAGCUUUGCUGGAGACUCGCCUUAAAGUAAUUGGCAGCCGGCCUACUGGUUUCGGAGCGCAGCACAAGUCGCACUCUCUAUCAGCAAAGGUCUAGCAUCCAUUAAGCCUUUUUUUCAACUUUUGACCUCGGAUCAGGUAGGGAUACCCGCUGAACUUUAGCAUAUCAAUAAGCGGAGGA